UACGUAGGGUGCGAGCGUUGUCCGGAAUUAUUGGGCGUAAAGAGCUUGUAGGCGGUUUGUCGCGUCUGCUGUGAAAAUCCGGGGCUCAACCCCGGACUUGCAGUGGGUACGGGCAGACUAGAGUGUGGUAGGGGGAGACUGGAAUUCCUGGUGUAGCGGUGGAAUGCGCAGAUAUCAGGAGGAACACCGAUGGCGAAGGCAGGUCUCUGGGCCAUUACUGACGCUGAGAAGCGAAAGCAUGGGGAGCGAACAGG
rnacentral:rRNA from 1 species